UACGAAGGGGGCUAGCGUUGCUCGGAAUCACUGGGCGUAAAGCGCACGUAGGCGGAUUGCUAAGUCAGGGGUGAAAUCCUGGAGCUCAACUCCAGAACUGCCUUUGAUACUGAAGAUCUUGAGUUCGGGAGAGGUGAGUGGAACUGCGAGUGUAGAGGUGAAAUUCGUAGAUAUUCGGAGGAACACCAGUGGCGAAGGCGGCUCACUGGUCCGGUACUGACGCUGAGGUGCGAAAGCGUGGGGAGCAAACAGG
rnacentral:rRNA from 1 species